CAUGGAGGGUGAGAAUCCCGUCCGGUUGAUCAUUUGCGUUUUACGAUACGCUCUCUAAGAGUCAAGUUGUUUGGGAUUGCAGCUUAAAAUGGGAGGUAAAUUUCUCCUAAGGCUAAAUAACGGCGAGAGACCGAUAGCGAACAAGUACCGUGAGGGAAAGAUGAAAAGAACUUUGAAAAGAGAGUUAAACAGUACGUGAAAUUGUUGAAAGGGAAACGAUUGAAGCCAGUCGUACCUUCGGGUAAUCAGCCUUUUGGGUGUGAUUUUGUGGAGCGUGAAGAGUUAAACGCCUUCAUGCCUGCAUAUUCGUGCACUUUGGGUGUACUUGCCCGUAUGGUUGGUUAACAUCAAUUUUGGUGGUCAUAAAAUGACUGGAGGAAUGUAGCUUCGAUCUUGUAUUGAAGUGUUAUAGCCUUCGGUAGAUGUGAUGAUCGAGAUUGAGGAUUGCAACGGAUACCCUUCGGGGCUACCUGUCUGGUCUCUGAUCGUUGCUCUGGUGCCGAAAGCUUGCUUACGGUUAUCAAAGUCGAUGGUCAAUAGGUUAGAACGGGUUAAAUUCGUUAAGGAUGUUGACGUAAUGG
rnacentral:rRNA from 1 species